UACGUAGGGUGCAAGCGUUGUUCGGAAUUAUUGGGCGUAAGGAGCUCGUAGGCGGUCUGUCGCGUCUGCUGUGAAAACUCGGGGCUUAACCCCGGGCCUGCAGUGGGUACGGGCAGACUAGAGUGCGGUAGGGGAGACUGGAAUUCCUGGUGUAGCGGUGAAAUGCGCAGAUAUCAGGAGGAACACCGGUGGCGAAGGCGGGUCUCUGGGCCGUAACUGACGCUGAGGAGCGAAAGCGUGGGGAGCGAACAGG
rnacentral:rRNA from 1 species